GCAGCAUUUCCACUGUGCUGCCUGAUCUCAUCAGGUCUCAGAAGCUAAGCAAGGCUGAGGCUGGUCAUUAUUGGAAUGGGAGACCUCCAGGGAAAACCAGGUUGAAAACUGCU
rnacentral:rRNA from 1 species